UUCCUUCCCUGUAAAUGUUGACUUGGCUUUGAAUAAAACAAAACUCGUUCCCUCUAAGAGGAAUACGUUGUGAGACACACACACACACACACACACGCAGGCACACACACACACACACACACGUUCAGCUCUGAGAGAGACAGCCUCGGGUCGCGCUGGUGUUUAGUCGAUCGAAACGCUAUUCCUCAAAGAGACUGUGACUCGCGCCAGUUUACGUAGGCUGAGCCCUCCACCCAUCAGACCGACUGGCUUGCGAGCGAGCGAGCCAAGCGUUGGAAUUUCUCCUUGUGCUGUCAGUCGAUGUUGUGAGCCGGGACAGUGUAGCGCCUCCAGGACCCUACCCGCGCAGUAUCGCGCAUAUCACCUAAUUCCGGGAGCCUGUAGCCGUCUGCAGGUUUCUCUGGGUGGGAUGGCAGGCGCAAAGUGCCUUCUCCGGACCCCGAGGUAAGCGGCUCGUGCGUGUCGUGACCACCGACUGUAGGUUGGCACGUGAAGUAGUCUCUGUAGAUCGUUUUUAUGAAAAUGCCUGACCUGACUCAAUGAGUCUCGUUUUUUUUCUCAUACCGACUCUCUGUAAAAUGUUUUCUCAAUAUUUUAAAUGUUUGGAGAUGUCCAGUGGUCAUCCUAGUGGUAGGCAAUGUUUCUCAGAUCAUCAGAUUAGAAUGUGAAGCGGGACAAAAUUGUAUAUGUGAUGAAUGAUUGCAAUACUUUAAUGAUCAUCAUUUGCAAUAUUAUCAGCGGGAAAUGAGCACAGAGAUUUGAUAUAAUUACAUGAGUCACGUUCCGCCCCGCUUAUCUCCGGUUUGGUGAAACCGUAAACAAGUCUGAGGCAAAGGCGACCCCAAUGCGCAUUGUUAUGGCACAUAAAAACCUCAAGGGAUAGCAGGAAAUAUAUAAAAAUGAAUGAUGUAGAAAACCAAAUGGCUUAAAUAGGAUUUAUAUAUAAAUGAAUGGAAUUGCUCGAAUUUUUACGUGUCUUAAAUUGUCCAGUCAACAAUAUUUAAACAGAUGUCCAUGCCUGUUAUGCGUGCAUGCCUGGUCGAUUUAUUAUGGCAAUCUAUUCUGAGGUACUUUUUUGUUUUGAAGAGAUUGAGAGAUCGUGAAAAUAUCUACUAUUCCUUCGUAAAAUUGUAAGUUGAGGAUGAACACCCGUGUGCGUAUGUAGCCUAGCAUCAGUUUCUCCUCAGUUAACUGUGUGCCUGCUUUGGAGGGCAAGCAUCUCUCCCUCACGUUACCGUUCGGGGAGCCCCCGUUCCUCCUUUCCUCGUAAUGCGCCGUAACAUUACGCACCAGUCUGUCUGCCAACAUCGACCCAGCUUCAAGCACAGUGAUUGCGUGGGGCGGGAUGAAGUUGCCAUGUCACCAAACCACCAAACACUGCUUGGGCGAAUGCACCCCUAAUAGAACCGCACGACUAUCAGUUCACCGUUGUCGUGAAAAUCAAUAAUUUACUGGGGUUGGCAGUACGUCCGUGCCACUACCGGGCUCGUGCGCGCUCAAUAUUGGAAAACCAAAGGCGCUUCGUCAUUAGUAGCCUUUUCAUCUCGCGCUCCUGUGCGCUCGGUUUGGCGCGCUCGAGAACAGCCUUGAAAGGCACACAGGCACUCUGGUCUGUCAACCGAGGUGGCUCUCUCUCACUUUCAAGCGGCAAAGGUCAACGAGAUCAGCAACUUCCAGUCAUCGGCCAUGUUUGAUGUUACCGAGACGACAACGGACGCAGAGGGUGGGAGUUCAGAGAGCACUUUGGGCUCGUCCGUCACGGCCUGCAAGAAGGUACACAACUCAGUGUGUGUGUGUGUGUGUGUGUGUGACUGAUGUUUGCAUGAAUUAAUAGUGAGAUGGAUUAUUUGCCUUUCAUAAACUUAACAACAGGGCAGUAUAAAGAAAUGGAAAGAGUGAGAGACACACACAGUACAAGAGAGAGAUGGAGAGAAAGUGUGACAUGGAGAGAGUGAAAGACACAGAGAGAGCGAGAGAGGGCGACAGUGCUAGUUUGUGUGUUUAUGUGUGUGUGUGUGUUUGUGUGUGAGAGAGGGAGAGUGAUUGUUUGUGUGUGUUCAUGUGUGUGUAUGUUUAGGUGUGUGUGUGUGUGUGUGUGUGAGAGAGAGAGGGAGAGAGAGAUAUAUAUAGAGAGACAGAGAAGCUAAGUGUUGCUCUGGCUGUGUGCCACAUGCUUGCAUAGAGGUUCUCUGCUAACACACAGGUCAGUGCAGCCUGAGCUCUCACAACCCUGGGUCAACGCAUUACUUUGACAUCAGCAAAGGGCC
ensembl:lncRNA